rnacentral:lncRNA from 1 species
CUGACAGUUUGGCUUCCCUGUUCCAGGUGGCAAAGCCUGUGGGGUAUUCACCUACCUGCUGCAUGAAGGCAGCAUGGAGGGACUGUGGUGGAUUAUCUGCAAAGAUGGCCCAAAUUCUCUCAUCCCUGCAGGUACAUACAAGAUGCCAGAAUCAGUCAAAACUAAGCUCACUGUCCUUGCUAAUAUUCUGCCCCAGAGGAGAACUGAAGCUCAGCUAUUCACCCUACAGAAAGCCUGAAUUUUGUAAAUGUUCUGCUUAGAAUGAGGAAGAAAGAUGAAGAAUGAGGAGGAAGAAGGGAGGAACAAGAGAGAGAGCCAGGUUUCCAGAAGUUCCCUAGUCAUUGGGCAUUUCUGAGACUCUUGAUGCAUAUGCCAAGUAGUUAUGGAGAAAGACAUAGCCGCUUACCUCUGCAGGCAUCAUUGUGUGAAAGGAAGACCGAGGCUGUCUCACCACCCUUGAAGAGAAGCCUUUUGCUAAGGUGAUAGCUGCAUGUCCAAGCCUAUUGCGUGGCAUGGAUUUUGCCUUCUACAGCCCACUAAAGGUGAGCAGUAAAUGUGUUUGCUAUUUCCCCAAAAGGAAAUUGAGGUGUACGGAAUGCUUAUUUGGUUGACUCAGUAUCAUCCUAAAUGUAUGAACUAAUGUUUAGGAGUUUGCAGUUCACCCGCAAACCUCAGCGAUCCAAGCUCCCCUGGAUGACCAUCACUCACCUAGAAAAGAACAAUAACAGGACCUGUUUUGCUAAUCCAGGACUGUUCUCCAGCACUAACUCUAAAUAAUCCCUUCUGUUAGA